AUUGAACGCUGGCGGCAGGCUUAACACAUGCAAGUCGAGCGAGCGGCGGACGGGUGAGUAAUGUCUGGGAAACUGCCUGAUGGAGGGGGAUAACUACUGGAAACGGUAGCUAAUACCGCAUACCAUCAGAUGUGCCCAGAUGGGAUUGGCUAGUAGGUGGGGUAACGGCUCAACUAGGCGACGAUCCCUAGGGGGUCUGAGAGGAUGACCAGCCAGACUGGAACUGAGACACGGUCCAGCCUCCUACGAGAGGCAGCAGGGGGGAAUAUUGCACAAUGGGCGCAAGCCUGAUGCAGCCAUGCCGCGGGUAUGAAGAAGGCCUUCGGGUUGUAAAGUACUUUCAGCGAGGAGGCGUUACUCGCAGAAGAAGCACCGGCUAACUCCGUGCCAGCCGCCGCGGUAAUUC
rnacentral:rRNA from 1 species